CCUACGGGUGGCAGCAGUAGGGAAUUUUGCGCAAUGGGCGAAAGCCUGACGCAGCAACGCCGCGUGCAGGAAGACGGCUCUAUGAGUUGUAAACUGCUUUUGUACAAGGGUAAACCUGAAUACGUGUAUUCAGCUGAAAGUACUGUACGAAUAAGGAUCGGCUAACUCCGUGCCAGCAGCCGCGGUAAUACGGAGGAUCCAAGCGUUAUCCGGAUUUAUUGGGUUUAAAGGGUGCGUAGGCGGAUUGAUAAGUUAGAGGUGAAAUGUCCGAGCUUAACUCGGGAACUGCCUCUAAUACUGUUGAUCUAGAGAGUAGAUGCGGUAGGCGGAAUGUAUGGUGUAGCGGUGAAAUGCUUAGAGAUCAUACAGAACACCGAUUGCGAAGGCAGCUUACCAAUCUAUAUCUGACGUUGAGGCACGAAAGCGUGGGGAGCAAACAGGAUUAGAUACCCUUGUAGUC
rnacentral:rRNA from 1 species